rnacentral:rRNA from 1 species
GACGAACGCUGGCGGCGUGCUUACCACAUGCAAGUCGAGCGGAGCGGCGAACGGGUGAGUAACGCGUGAGUAACUGCCCCCCCCUCUGGGAUAACAGUUGGAAACGGCUGCUAAUACCGGCUAGUGGGGGAUGACUCGCGUCCUAUCAGCUUGUUGGUGGGGUAGUGGCCUACCAAGGCGACGACGGGUAGCCGGCCUGAGAGGGCGACCUGCCAAAUUGGGAGGGUAUACGGGCCGAACUCCUACGGGAGGCAGCAGGGGGGAAUCUUGCACACUGGGGGAAACCCUGAAUCAGCAACGCCGCGUGCGGGAUGACGGCCUUCGGGUUGUAAACCGCUUUCAGCGAUGACGCGGUAGUGGCAGAAGAAGCACCGGCUAACUACGUGCCAGCCGCCGCGGUAAUAC